AUGGAUGUGGACUUUUGGGACAAUGGUGCUGGCUUUUCUACCGAGGCAUAUACGGCGAGGAGCGGUGAUAUAUUCAUUUUGUCUAGCUCGAAACCUGAAUCUGCAGAGGACCUUAACCGCUACGGUGUGACAUAUUGCUUGGCAAUGGUCACUGAGGUUUCUUUGGAUGAUGAAUACCACAAGUGUUUCAGAGUUAAAGUUGCAAAGGAUAUUGGUUUGGAAGAAGAAUUGAGUAAAUUGAGACAUGCAAUAUUUCUCAGUAAUAUCAUGACAAGCAUACGGAUAUGGAAAGCACUUUCCUAUGACACGCACAUGAAUAACAAUUUCACAGUAAUCAAGUCACUGUUAGCCCCAACAAAUUUGGGUGAAGAUGUAUGUGGUAUCUGCAUUGAACAGGAUGGGGGCUGUUUGCCUUCCUUGACAGAGCAAUUACUUUCGAUUAAACUUAAUCAAUCACAAGUGGAUGCCAUUGAAUCUGUGAUGUCAGCUGUACGAUGUAGGCAUAUGAACCUCUUGAAGCUUAUAUGGGGUCCACCAGGUACUGGAAAGACCAAGACUGUUAGUGCUUUACUAUGGGCUUUGGCGUGUAUGAAAUGCAGAACUCUUACUUGUGCUCCCACUAAUGUUGCUGUCGUUGGAGUCUGCACUCGUUUCCUUCAGAACUUGAAGGAUUUCAACCAGCACAUUGACGAAAAUGGUCUACCCUUUUCUCUUGGAGACGUCGUGCUGUUUGGGAACAAGCAGAGAAUGGACAUCACCGAGGAUCUUCAGGAAGUUUUCUUGGAUUUUCGUGUGGACGAACUUCUUGAGUGCUUUUCUUCGUUGUCUGGAUGGAACUACAGAAUAGCUUCAAUGGUGUCCUUUUUUGAUGACUGUGCUUCACGUUACGAUAUGCUUCUUGAGGAUGCUGGGAAUAGUGAUCCUGUCAGCUUCCUGGACUUCAUAAAAAAGCAGUUUGAUGUGGCAGCAGUAGCUCUUAAGAGAUGCAUAGUGAAUUUGUUGGUUCACCUUCCCCGAAGGUGCUUAUCUCAUGAUAGUGUCAUAAUUAUAUCUACAUUGCUUAAUAUGCUGGAAAAUUUUGGUGGUCUUCUGUGUGACGCACACUUGACUGACGAGGGCUUGAAAAGGGCCCUUGGUUGUUUGUCAACUGAAAACUCCGUUUGUGCACGACCAAUAUCUUCUAUUGAGAAGGAACUGGAUGGAGCAAGAUCUGCAUGCCUUAAAUUGCUUAAAGAUCUACAACACUCACUCAAUUUACCCACUGGAGUAGACAAAAACUGGGUCCAGAGCUACUGCAUACGCAAUGCUACACUUCUUUUUUGUACUACCUCCAGCUCUUAUCGGUUGCAUCACAUGAAGAUUGCACCCCUCGACGUCUUAAUCGUUGACGAGGCUGCUCAAGUGCGGGAGUGCGAGUUGGUGAUCCCACUACGUUUGCAUUGGUUGAAGCAUGUUGUUUUGGUAGGAGAUGACUGUCAGCUGAGUGCAAUGGUUAAAAGCAAAGUAUGCAAAGAAGCUGGCUUUGGUACAAGUCUUUUUGGGAGAUUGGUUACACUGAAAUUCGGUAAACAUUUGCUGAAUAUACAGUAUCGGAUGAAUCCUUGUAUUAGCCUGUUUCCAAAUGCUCAGUUUUAUGAGAGGAAGAUUUUAGAUGGUACAAAUGUCCUGUCUCCUAGCUAUAACAAGGAUUAUAGAGGCCUCCCAUUUGGCAGCUACACUCUUAUAAAUGUCACUGAUGGAAGGGAAGACAAAGAGGGCACAGGAAACAGCCGACGAAACAUGGUUGAAGUUGCUGUUGUUCUGCACCUCAUCCAAACCAUCUUUAAAUGUUGGAAAAGUACAGGCAAAGCGCUUAGCGUCGGUGUGGUCUCUCCAUAUAGUUCUCAAGUUGAUGCAAUUAAUGUUAGACUUGGCAAAAAAUACGACACAUGUGAUGGCUUUCAUGUGCGCGUCAAGUCCAUUGAUGGUUUUCAAGGAGAAGAGGAUGACAUAAUAAUACUAUCAACGGUUAGAUCCAAUGGGAAUGGAGUUGUUGGGUUUCUUGCUGAUAACCAAAGAACAAAUGUUGCUCUUACCAGGGCAAAGCACUGUCUUUGGAUUGUUGGUAAUGCUCAUACACUGUAUAAAAGUGGAACUGUCUGGGCAGACCUUGUUUCUGAUGCUCAAAGACGUAAAUGUGUUUUCAAUGCCACUAAUGACGCGGCCUUAUGUAAGUUGGUUUUGCAAGUAAAGAAAGAGCUUGAUGAGCUUGAGGAUCUUCUUAAUGCUGAUUCAGCUGUUUUCAGCAAUACCAGAUGGAAGGUCAUUGUUAGCGACGAGUUUAGAAAGUCUUUCACCAAGCUAAAAUCAUCACAACUCAGGAGGGAAGUACUCCAAAAGCUUAUCAAACUUGGUGAUGGUUGGAGGACAACAGUUAGGAACUUAGAUAUACCUGGUGUUUCCCAUCUUGCAAAAGUAUACAAGAUCAGGGACCUUUGUCUUAUUUGGAGUACUGAUGUGGAGAAAAAUGAAGGCAGGUAUAUCCAGAUGAUACGAAUUUGGGACCUACUGUCACAACAGCAUGUCGCUAGAACCAUUCAACGUCUCGAGAACCUUUUUUCGAUGUACACAGAUGAUUACAUGGAUCACUGCAGAAGAGUGCAGACACUCGGGAAACUGGAGGUUCCUAUUAUUUGGGAUGUUGAGCAUGAUAUUAUUCGCUAUAAGAAGGAUUGCAGAGUUGAUGCCCAGGAAGAGCUUGAUUUAGUAGAUACCUGUGGAUGGUUCUGA
rnacentral:rRNA from 1 species